rnacentral:rRNA from 1 species
AUGUGGUGUUUGGGUCGGCUCGUGGGAUUGCCACUCCACUCGAAGUCCAGCAUUGAGUAUGGUCACUGGAUUGGCCCAGAGAGGGUGAAAGGCCCGUACGGGUGGAGGUUCAGAAAUGAAAGGCAGUUCACCAGGCCGGCCUUAGAGUCGGGUUGUUUGAGAAUGCAGCCCAAAGCGGGUGGUAAACUCCAUCCAAGGCUAAAUACUAGCACGAGUCCGAUAGCGAACAAGUACCGUGAGGGAAAGUUGAAAAGUACUCUGAAGAGAGAGUAAACAGUACGUGAAACCGCAUGCAGGUAAACGGGUGGCGUCAAGCUGCAAGCAUGGAGGAUUCAGCCGGCUAGGAUGUUGUGUAUGCGCCUGGCGCAUCCAUCAGUCAGAGUAUGAUUGGAUAGUCCACUGGUAAACGGUGGGCCCAACCGCAAGGUUGGGAUGUGUGUACCGGGUGUGUGCCGGAGCGCGCUAUCCGUCUAUGGACUGUCUAGCCGGUGCACUUUCUCUGUGCUGACACCACGACCGGUGGAAUUGCCAGUCUGCUGUGUCCAAGUCGUACUCGGUCGGUCCUUGUGGCCAACUGGGUGCGAUCACAGGCAAACUCAGUAUACGGCGUAGAGGGGCUUCGGCUCUUUUGCGUGUUAUCGGCUACUGGUUGUCAACGGGCUGCCUAGUGUUUGUUGUAACCRGCACUUGGGCGGCCUGGUGGGACAUGGUGGUAAGAAUAACUGUGCAAGGCACCGGGUUUAUCGGCCUCAAAUGCACUCCGCGCCCACGUUACAAGUGGUGUAUGGCGGUGCUGUUGCUGCCUGCUCGUGGCUGGGUCUGAUUGUCGUGUCGCCUGCGCAAAGUGGGCCCGGCAGUGGCUCGACCCGAGAUGGGUAGUGGAUGGUGCUGUCUGUGUGGAGUGUGGUGGGCCUAAUAGUCAGUGGUGUAGUGGUAGACGAGCUACCCGACCCGUCUUGAAACACGGACCAAGGAGUUUAACAUGUAUGCAAGUCAAUGGGCGUUACGAAACCCAAAGGCGCAGUGAAAGUGAAGCUUCGACUUGUCUCGGAGUGAGGUGAGAUCCUGCUGUUACUCGCAUCAGCCUAAUGCCAGCAUC